UCGUCGCGUGUUUCAUGGUGGCCGCUAGGGUGCCCCUGCCGGCCAUCUGCCAUCUGCUCCAGGGGCCCCCUCCAGGAACACGCAGCGACUGCUAAGCCGUCGUCCUGUUUUGCUUCUCCCUACACAUCCUUACUAAGAGAAAGGGGCCUGCCCAGCUAGCAGCAGCUUCCUAGCUGGAAGAUGCAUAGCCAUAACGCACGCAUCGAUUAGGAGCAGUUUAUCACGCAGCUUGUACGCAUGCCGCCGCCGCCUUUUCGCCUCGUGCCUAUAUCGUGGCGGGUGAACAAGGGAAUCUCGCUGGAGACCCUUUUGGAAGGGAUCUCGGUGGCGCACUGCCGUUGCGUGUCGUUCGUCGGUAUAAGAAUUGCCGGACGGUCGAUGUCCGCUGUACGUUUCAUUAGCUAUAUGUUUCUGCAGUUUGAUAUAAUGUUUUUGUGGCGUAGAUCUACAAGAGAUCAAGAAGGGUGAUGUUCUGGAUGCUGAUCUCGACUAAUAGUUGCCGGAUGAACUAUGCAAUGACAGCAUGGAUGAGCUUUGUGUGCAGUUCACAUUUACCUGGUGGACCAUCACCAACCGGAUGGAGGUGAAGCAAGUGGUCAAGUCAGGGAAAUGCUCGAAAGGCUAUCGAGAAGAUCAACGAUCUUAACCCCACGAUCCUAAUUUCAGUUUGUACCUCGUUGUUGGGCUGUCAGAAAAGUUUGGAGCAGGAGCAAUGAUAUGACAAUUGUGGCUAACUUUCUUGUCAUUAGUCAUAUAUGUGCUAAUGGACCUUCCGGGUUCUCCAUUAUGUUUACCGGCCGGUUUCUCAUCUGAAAAAUACCCCAUAGCAUAGUGGACAAUGCUUUUUUUGGGUCAGUAGUAUUUCUACAUGAAACUAAGGUAUAUAUGCGUAUGAGAAAUGUGGCUUAUCUUUAGAUAAUGCUUUUUUUGUUA